CAGCAGCCACGGUAAUACAGAGGGUGCAAGCGUUAAUCGGAAUUACUGGGCGUAAAGCGCGCGUAGGUGGUUUGUUAAGUUGGAUGUGAAAGCCCCGGGUUCAACCUGGGAACUGCAUCCAAAACUGGCAAGCUAGAGUACGGUAGAGGGUGGUGGAAUUUCCUGUGUAGCGGUGAAAUGCGUAGAUAUAGGAAGGAACACCAGUGGCGAAGGCGACCACCUGGACUGAUACCGACACUGAGGUGCGAAAGCGUGGGGAGCAAACAGGAUUAGAUACCCCAGUAGUCCCUGUCUCUUAUAC
rnacentral:rRNA from 1 species